rnacentral:rRNA from 1 species
UACGUAGGUGGCAAGCGUUAUCCGGAAUUAUUGGGCGUAAAGAGCGCGCAGGUGGUUGAUUAAGUCUGAUGUGAAAGCCCACGGCUUAACCGUGGAGGGUCAUUGGAAACUGGGGAACUUGAGUGCAGAAGAGGAGAGUGGAAUUCCAUGUGUAGCGGUGAAAUGCGUAGAUAUAUGGAGGAACACCAGUGGCGAAGGCGGCUUUCUGGACAGUAACUGACGCUGAGGCGCGAAAGCGUGGGGAGCAAACAGGAUUAGAUA